rnacentral:tRNA from 1 species
GGGAUAGUAUGCAAGUGGUUAAAGCAGGCAAAACAAAGAGAGCUGGUGAAUGAAUAACAGCUGUGAACAUUCAAUACUUUGUGGGUUCAAAUCCCACCUAUCCCA